rnacentral:rRNA from 1 species
UACGUAGGGGGCAAGCGUUGUCCGGAUUUAUUGGGCGUAAAGAGCGUGUAGGCGGUUUGGUAGGUCCGCUGUGAAAACUCGAGGCUCAACCUCGAGACGCCGGUGGAAACCAUCAGGCUAGAGUCCGGAAGAGGAGAGUGGAAUCCUGGUGUAGCGGUGAAAUGCGCAGAUAUCAGGAAGAACACCCGUGGCUAAGGCGGCUCUCUAGUACGGUACUGACGCUGAGACGCGAAAGCGUGGGGAGCGAACAGG